rnacentral:rRNA from 1 species
CUACUGCCUCAUAAUCCUUCAGUGCCGCUUGUACAGAAGAAAAGUAUCGUCGCCCUAUGACGCCGCCUCGUCGAUGAGGUAGUUGGCGACGUAGCGACUCACCGAGGCGAUCUGAGUAGCCGUCGUGAGAGAGUGGCUCUACACAUUGGGCCUGACACUCCGCCCAAUCUCCAUACGGGUGACAGCAGUGGAGAUGUGUACUCAGUGCCGAAAAUUGAUGCAGCGACGGCGCGUGAGAAAAUAAUAUUUCUGUAUGUAAAGGUAUAUCAGCAAGGGGAAUAAUGCCGACUUCGUGUGGAAGCUCGGCCUAAUACCCUGCCGCAACCGCGUGUAAUCAGUAGGAGCCAAGCGUUAUCGGAUUUUACUAUCUUAAGGGGAGCGUAGGUGGCAAUUCAAUUCAGAAUGGAAAAUCCGGGGCUUAACCCGGAAAUUCUUUUUGAAACUUGUUUUAUGGAGUGCAGGAGGGGUAAGCGGAAUUCUUAGGGGGGGGGGGAAAUGGGUUGAUAUUAGGAGGAACCCCGGGGGGGAAGGCGGCUUAUUGGGGCGUAAUGGACAGUGGGGCUGGAAGGGGUGGGGAGCAAACAGGAUUAAAUACCCUGGUUUUCCCCCCCGUUAACGAUGAAAGUUGGGGGUUGGGAAGCAAUGGCUUUUUGGGGCCGUCGCAAACGCAUUAAUUAUUCCCCCGGGGGAGUACGUUCGCCAGAAUGAAAAUCAAAGGAAUUGACGGGGGCCCGCCCCAGCGGUGGAGCAUGGGGUUUAAUAGAAGCCACGCGGAGAACCUUCCAAGUCUUUACAUCUUACUGACCGGUAAGGAAACUCACCUUUCCCUGGG